ensembl:lncRNA
UUUUAUCACAGAACUUUUAAUUUAUUCUCAUCAAAAGCACUCUAUUCAACUUAAUUAGGCAUUUUUUUCAAUCAUAUAUCACUGUUAGGUACACACAUGAAAAGAAAACAUAAAUGGGCCAGUUCCAGUGGCUUAGUGGUGAAGUUUGGUGCUCUCCGCUUUGGUGGCCCAGGUUCAGUUCCCAGGCAUGGACCUACACCAUUCAUCUGUCAGUGGCCAUGCUGUAGCAGCGGCUCAUGUACAAAAAGGGGAAGAUUGGCAGUAGAUAUUUGCUCGGGGCAAAUCUUCCUCAGCAAAGAAAGAAAGAAAGAAAGAAAACAUAAGCAAAACUAAUUGCUUAAGUCUCUAAAACUUCUUCACAUUCAGAAUCCAACUCUUCUGAAUCACCUUUACUCUGAGUGGCUGGUGGCCAGGUCAUUUUCAUGUAACAUUGCCCUCUGUGACAUCAAGAGCACAGAUGAUGCUACAUUCCUUCUAAGAGGGCUCCACUACCAUCUCUGGGAUUUUCUUCGGAGCUGCUGACACCCAUUUUGCAAGUUUUGAUUCUGGACUUUCUUGGUCUCACCAGAAGGUGUCAAUGGAAGAUUUACAGACAAGAACCCAGGAGUCCUUCUUCAAAUGGCCCCUAACUGGUUUGUGGCUAGAACAUGGCAGGGCUCAUGUUGUCCGGAAAAGCCACCAGGAAGAACAAUCCCCUUCUGGCACAGGCAGGCAGCAGUACCCACAUCGCGACUGUUACAUCUCCAACAGUCAUUGUGAUGAUGUCACGCCUGGUGAAAUCGCAUCCCGAUUUCAGAGACAGGAACGUGUGGAAAACCUCAAAAGGGAUGAACUUCAGUUGCUGGGUGACUGCGCUCUCGUGUGCUCUGGGCUAACUAGACUCACGCAGUUCUAGAAGCUGUAGGGAGAACCGACUCCCCCUGCUUGGUGGCAGAGGUGGCCUUUGAGCAGCAGCCUGAAGCAUAAAGAGGAAUGCACCACAAAGCCAGGGGAAGGCACUCCGGGCUGAAGGACCAGCCUGUGCCGUACAUGGAAGCAUGAAGAAUCCUGGCACCCCUGGCACCAGGACUCGAACCGGCAUAGGACCCACGACAGGGCAGGCAAUGAACAAAGGGAUGAAUGAAUUCAGCUAGUGGUAACAAACCUAGAACCAGAAGUCAAACCUCCUGACGCUUCCUUCCUGCCUCCCCCAGCCCAUGCUCAAGCUUACCUCUGAUCAAAAGGACAAUCGCCCUUUGUUAUUUACCUGGAAUUCUCUCGGAAUAUUCACCCAGAAUCCUCUUGGGUUGCUCACCCAGAAUCCUGGCUCCUCAUCUCAGAAAGUAGAACUUUCAGAACACCAAUCAAAGGCAUUUUGAGGGCAAAGGCGUGAAAAUCCUCGUUGCUAAGGCAGCUUUGCCAACUUCACUGGAUGAGGGUCUCCAGCUGUGAAAAGGAGCAUAGAAUUAAGACAGCCUUCAGUCCUCAACACCACCUCCAGCCCUGCGUUCCCACAUAAUGGUCACCGGGAGAUAUUAGCAUCUAAAUUAUUUUAAGGAGAUAUAAUAAGAUUCACCCAGCAGGCCAUUAAUGACGAAAGAGAUUAUUACUGGAAAAAAUCCAAGACUGACUUUGAGCAGAGUUGGUUCAUCUAAAUGACCCUUUCCCUGCACCUCAGAUGAUCCUGGUCCCCAGAGAUUAUACAGAUUUGAAAAAAGAAGCUGCCAUGGAACACGCGCACGCUUAUGCAAGAGGGUCUUACGGAAGGAAUCUCUGGAGAAUUAGGGUCAGGAGUGCGUAGCAGCGAGAUAAAUGAGAUGUUCCUUGAAUCGUAAGAAUCCACUGUGGCAGAAUUUACAGGAAGCAUCUCCAGUCUCCAGAUUUGGCAGGCAUCCAGCCAGAGUUGUCAAGUAUUAGAUUAAUUUUAAUUCAAUGCAAAAAACCACAUUAGUGUAGUGUUGCGAUUGAGAGUUGAAACAUACAAAAGCCAAGAGUCCUUGAAGUGAAUCAUUCCAGAGCCUGAGCGUCAUUUCAAGCGUCCAUCAAAAAGGUCCUGGUCACAGGAGUUAAAGUUCAAACUCCUGACAUGGCAUUCAAGACCCUCCAUGAUCUAGCUUCGAAUGCCCUCCACAACCCCAUCUCUCAG